CACCCCUCACGACCGCGUUCUCCAUCCUCACCCCUCACAUCUCACAACCGUACCCUCACCUCACGGCCGGCAUCUCCGUAGGAGACGAUCACCUCACCGCAUCUCCGGCCUCGACUCCCGGCGAGGACACGGCGACGCCUCACCUCACCAUCGAUUCCCUCAGCCGUCGCUACAGUACGCGCGUUCUCCUCACCGCCACCAUCUCAUCAUCGAUUCACCGCCCCACGCCCUCAUCCGCCGUCUCCACCGCCACAGUGUCGCCGCCGCUGCUUCGAUCCGCCGCCACUGCUUCGAUCAACCGCUCCAGCCGCUGCUUCGUCCAUCAGAAGGCAUAGAAAGAGGUUAGCAUCCUGUUGAUGAACACGAGGCAUUGUGGUUGAUAAAGACAAAAUUCAUUGUGGUUUUUUGUUGGGAUAUUAUAAUAGUUAUAGCAAAAAGGCAAAGUGGGUAUUGCUUCAAUGUGGAUAAGCGUUGGAUCAUCUCGGCCUGGGAAAGCCACUGCUAAGGAGAGUUGUGAAUGUGGUUUUGAAGAUGAUGUGGAUGAUAUUGAAAGUGUAAAGAAAAUGAGUACUCUUCAACAACUCAGAUUAAAUCUUAGGAGUGCCGGAAAUUCCUACUAGAGUUCCAAGCAUAAGCUUGUCUUGGCCUUCAAGAGUUUCUUGAAUGACAUGAAAAAUGGUAUCCUUCAAUCAUGGAAGAUCAGGUCAAUUUUAUGCCUUCGAGAAAGCUCAUCAGCUAGACCCCACAUCAAGUGGACGUGGUGUACACCAAUUUAAAACUGCACUACUUCUGCAUCGGCUUGAAAGGGCCAGUAAGGAUCAACUUCCUCAAUUAGACAUAAUCAGUCCAGUAUUUGAAGGAAAUUCGUACUCUACCAAUGAAAUAGAUGAGAUUCGAGACUUAUGAGCAAAAUAUUUUUUGUAAGAGUAUGGGUAACUUUUGUUUUAGAUUAUAUGUUAUAUUGCAUUGAUAUAAAGUAUUGUAUUGAUAGUAUUUGGUUGAGUGUUGAUAAUAUUGUGUUUUGAUAGUUUGUUGAUAAUAUUGUUUUUGAUAGUUUGUUGAUAA